rnacentral:rRNA from 1 species
UACGUAGGGGGCAAGCGUUGUCCGGAAUUAUUGGGCGUAAAGAGCUCGUAGGCGGUUUGUCGCGUCUGCUGUGAAAACCCGAGGCUCAACCUCGGGCCUGCAGUGGGUACGGGCAGACUAGAGUGUGGUAGGGGAGACUGGAAUUCCUGGUGUAGCGGUGGAAUGCGCAGAUAUCAGGAGGAACACCGGUGGCGAAGGCGGGUCUCUGGGCCGAUACUGACGCUGAGGAGCGAAAGCGUGGGGAGCAAACAGG